AUUGAACGCUGGCGGCAUGCUUUACACAUGCAAGUCGAACGGUAACAGGUUAAGCUAACGAGUGGCGAACGGGUGAGUAAUGCAUCGGAACGUGCCCGAUCGUGGGGGAUAACGCAGCGAAAGCUGCGCUAAUACCGCAUACGAUCUGAGGAUGAAAGCGGGGGACCGGAAGGCCUCGCGCGAUCGGAGCGGCCGAUGUCAGAUUAGGUAGUGGUUGGGGUAAAGGCUCACCAAGCCAACGAUCUGUAGCUGGUCUGAGAGGACGACCAGCCACAGUGGUCCUGAGGCACGGCCAAGCCUCCUACGGGAGGACGCAGUGGGGAAUUAUGGACAAUGGGAGAAAGCCUGAUCCAGCAAUGCCGCGUGCAGGAAGAAGGCCUUCGGGUUGUAAACUGCUUUUGUACGGAACGAAAAGGCUCUGGAUAAUACCUGGGGCUCAUGACGGUACCGUAAGAAUAAGCACCGGCUAACUACGUGCCAGCCGCCGCCGUAA
rnacentral:rRNA from 1 species